rnacentral:rRNA from 1 species
GAUGGUGCUUGCACUAUCACUUAGCGGCGGACGGGUGAGUAAUGCUUAGGAAUCCGCCUAUUAGUGGGGGACAACAUCUCGAAAGGGAUGCUAAUACCGCAUACGUCCUACGGGAGAAAGCAGGGGAUCACUUGUGACCUUGCGCUAAUAGAUGAGCCUAAGUCGGAUUAGCUAGUUGGUGGGGUAAAGGCCUACCAAGGCGACGAUCUGUAGCGGGUCUGAGAGGAUGAUCCGCCACACUGGGACUGAGACACGGCCCAGACUCCUACGGGAGGCAGCAGUGGGGAAUAUUGGACAAUGGGGGGAACCCUGAUCCAGCCAUGCCGCGUGUGUGAAGAAGGCCUUAUGGUUGUAAAGCACUUUAAGCGAGGAGGAGGCUCUUUUGGUUAAUACCCAAGAUGAGUGGACGUUACUCGCAGAAUAAGCACCGGCUAACUCUGUGCCAGCAGCCGCGGUAAUACAGAGGGUGCAAGCGUUAAUCGGAUUUACUGGGCGUAAAGCGCGCGUAGGCGGCCAAUUAAGUCAAAUGUGAAAUCCCCGAGCUUAACUUGGGAAUUGCAUUCGAUACUGGUUGGCUAGAGUGUGGGAGAGGAUGGUAGAAUUCCAGGUGUAGCGGUGAAAUGCGUAGAGAUCUGGAGGAAUACCGAUGGCGAAGGCAGCCAUCUGGCCUAACACUGACGCUGAGGUGCGAAAGCAUGGGGAGCAAACAGGAUUAGAUACCCUGGUAGUCCAUGCCGUAAACGAUGUCUACUAGCCGUUGGGGCCUUUGAGGCUUUAGUGGCGCAGCUAACGCGAUAAGUAGACCGCCUGGGGAGUACGGUCGCAAGACUAAAACUCAAAUGAAUUGACGGGGGCCCGCACAAGCGGUGGAGCAUGUGGUUUAAUUCGAUGCAACGCGAAGAACCUUACCUGGGCUUGACAUAGU